CUAUGACAAUAAAAUCACAAGGUGAUUCAUUUGCAUAUUAGAAGAGAUCUCUCUUUUUUUUUUUUCCUUGAUAGAACUUACAUGUAGCUUUUCAACAAAUAGUGCUGGCACAACUGGACAUCUACGUACAGAAGAACGAAAUUUGGAAUCUACCUCACCGCCUACACAGAAACAAACUCAAAAUGCAUCCAUGGCCUAAAUGUGAGAACUAAAAAUGAAAGAUAUACAAUGACCACGUGAAAUGAGAAAUUUGAGAAAUGCAAGUCAAACCACAAUGAGCUGUAUUGCACGCCCACUGGGAGAGCUAGGGAGAAAAAAGGCAGUGGGUGAUGAAUGUGGACGAGCAGUGGGGACACCGGACUCUCGUUCCCUGCUGGUGGGAACUUCACUGAGGUGGCUGCUCUGGAGCACAGCAGGGUGAUUCUUCCAGAGGUCCUAUGUGGCAUCACCACGUGACCCCGUAACCCAAGCCCAUGGGUACUGGAAACAUGUGGGCGCCCAAGGACUUGCACACAGGAGCUCAUAAGAGCAUUGCUCAGAAUCGUAAAGAGGGGAAAAGGUCCGCAGCACAACGGCUGAUGAAUCGACCUUCAGAAGGCGCCUUCCGUUCACUAUAAAAAGGAGUGAGGUUCCAGUACGUGGUGCCAAACGUGGGUGAAUCUUGAAAAUGGUAUGUUAAGUCAAGGACGCUCCCAAGGUACUACAAACUGCAUGACUCCGUUUCUGUUUCCAGUCCAUACCAGGCAAGCCCGUCAGGAAGAGCACAGGUGUGAUAAAUGAUUAAGAAUGGAACCCCAGGAUUCAGAACUUCUGGUGAACAUCAGCAAGAGGAAAAUAACAACCCAGUUUUAAACUGUGUCUUGAGCAGGAGCUUCACAAUGGGACACGGAUGAGGUGAGGUCCUGUGGCCCCCCACAGCCUGACGGUAGAGGUGAGCUUUGCAGGAGUGCAGCCAUGCCCGUUCAGCCACAUGUGACUGUGACUGCGAAUGCUCUACAUCCCCUGUGGAAUCUGAGACUGGGGACAAGACCACAUGGCCCACAGAGCCAAGGACAGUUACUCUCAAAUCCUUUACAGAGGAAUCUGCUGGUCCCUGCAACAGAAGAUAUCCAGGUGACUGACCCUCACAUGAAAAAAUGCUCCAAUGUGAUGAGCCACUGUAAAAAGAAAGGCUGGACCCCAGAAGGACACAUUCACUCUCCUUUAAGAUGGCCCGACAGCAGUCCUGCAGCACCAGUGGCUCCAGUGCCAAUAGGCCGUUGGCAAACAGCUGGGAGUGUCUGCCUGGCUCACCACACCUGUCCCUGUGGCUCAGCAGGUCCUGGGUAGAUAGACAUUCAAGGAAAGUGAGGGUCUCGGGCAGCAGGAGACAUGGGGGGAAUGACCUUAGCACCUGGGCUUGUCACAGCCCCACACCUGACACACCCAGAUGUCCACCAUCAGAGGAACGGAUUAAAUAAAGUGUGAUAUGUGCACACGA